CCAACGGCCCUCUUUAGGGCCACAUAUAUCCGAAUAAUCCAAAAA
rfam:Caenorhabditis brenneri strain PB2801 C_brenneri-6.0.1_Cont18.62, whole genome shotgun sequence.